UACAGAGGUCUCAAGCGUUGUUCGGAUUCAUUGGGCGUAAAGGGUGCGUAGGCGGCGAGGUAAGUCAGGUGUGAAAUCUCGGGGCUCAACCCCGAAACUGCACUUGAUACUGUGGUGCUCGAGUACUGGAGAGGAGAUUGGAAUUUACGGUGUAGCAGUGAAAUGCGUAGAUAUCGUAAGGAAGACCAGUGGCGAAGGCGAAUCUCUGGACAGUUACUGACACUGAGGCACGAAGGCCAGGGGAGCAAACGGG
rnacentral:rRNA from 1 species